rnacentral:rRNA from 1 species
UUAGAUACCCUGGUAGUCCACGCCGUAAACGAUGAGUGCUAAGUGUUAGGGGGUUUCCGCCCCUUAGUGCUGCAGCUAACGCAUUAAGCACUCCGCCUGGGGAGUACGACCGCAAGGUUGAAACUCAAAGGAAUUGACGGGGACCCGCACAAGCGGUGGAGCAUGUGGCUUGAUUCGAAGCGAUGGGGGGGGGCGCUGCCGGCGUGGACCCACGCCCGCCUAUUCAUCGACGAUGAUGGGCAA